AACCAACCGGAAGAGAUCAGAAGGGGGCGCCUCUGCGGCUGGGGAAAGAAGAUGCUAGAGCUGCUGGGAGGAAGUGGGAGAAUUGUCAGGGACCCGUGUAGCCCAGGAAGCCCCUGCGCACUGCAGAGUGUGGGGUGCCCAAAUUCAUGCUGUACUCUCAGCAGCAAGGAGUGGGACCAUUACUCCUGGUGUUCCCAGUUGGAAUGGACACCAAGCCUGGCUUUGCCACUGAACACAAUACAGGACUAAUAAAGCAGAGUACAGUCAGAAAGCUGAGUCAACUCAGAUUUCUCACCGUUGAGUCAAGUUGUGAAGCCUGCCCUCUUGGGAGUAGAGGAUUUUCAUACGGAAGCAUUAUGGAGUCUCGCUCUGUCACCCAGGUUGAAGUGCAGUGGCGCAAUCUUAGCUCACUGCAACAGAGAUCAAGAAGUCAAGAGCAGCUCUGCUGAGUGGUCGGUGUUCACACUCCAGGGACAAAGUCUGUGAGCCCCUGAGGUCCCCAGAACUGCUCUCACUCUUCCUUGCGGAGUCAACUCUGUCUUCAAAUCCUGAGAAACCCAAUAUUUUUACAAUCAAUUCCUUUUGGGGGCUUAAGCUACUCUGAAUCAGAUUUUGCUAUUUGUAACAAAAAAAUAAUACUAGUAAGUAGGGAGUCUUAACACUACUAAGAUCAAAAGUGUAAAAGGGAGAGCAGGUGGGGCGUGGUGGCUCACGCCUGUAAUCGCAGCACUUUGGGAGGCCGAGGUAGGCACACCACUAGGUAAGGAGUUCAAGACCAGCCUGACCAACAUGUGAAACUCCUAUCUCUACU